AGUUUGUUUUUAAUUUUUAUUACUUUAUUUUUCCAUAAGUUAUUGGGGAACAGGUGGUGUUUGGUUACAUGAGUACAUUUUUUAGUGGUGAUUUGGGAGACUUUGGUGCACCCAUCACCCAAGCAGUGUACAUUGCACCAUAUUUGGAGUCUUUUAUCCCUCACCCCCCUCCCACUCUUCCUUCCAAGUCCCCAAAGUCCAUUGUAUCAUUCUUACGCCUUUGCGUCCUCAUAGCUUAGCUCCCACAUAUCAGUGAGAACAUACAAUGUUUAGUUUUCCAUUCCUGAGUUACUUCCCUUAGAAUAAUAGUCUCCAGUUUCAUCCAGGUCACUGCAAAUGCUGUUAAUACAUUCCUUUUUAUGGUUGAGUAGUAUACCAUCAUAUAUACAUAUAUAUAUUCACACCUGUAAUCCCAGCACUUUGGGAGGCUGAGGCAGGUGGAUCACCUGAGGUCAGGAGUUCAAGACCAGCCUGGCAAACAUGGAGAAACCCUGUCUCUACCAAAAAUACAAAAUUUAGCCAGGCAUGGUGGCACACACCUGUAAUCCCAGUUACCUGGGAGGCUGAGGCAGGAGAAUCACUUGAACCUGGGAGGCAGAAGUUGCAAUGAGUGGAGAUCACGCCACUGCACUCCAGCCUCGGCAACAGAGUGAGACUCCAUCUCAAAAAGUAAUAAUAAUAAAUGAAUUAAAAAUAAAUAAAAAUAAAAAAGCCUUAAUUAGGGCUGGGCACAGUGGUUCAUGCCUAUAAUCCUAGCACUUGGGAGGCUGAGGCAGGUGGAUCACUUGAGGUCAGGAGUUCAAGACCAGCCUCACAAACAUGGUGAAACCCUGUCUCUACCAAAAAAUUUAUAAAUUAGCCAGAUGUGGUAAUGCACACCGGUACCAGGUCCCAGCUACUCAGGAGGUUGAGGCAGGAGAAUCACUUGAAGUCGGGCGGCGGAGGUUGCAGUGAGCCGAGAUGGUGCCACUGCACUCCAGCCUGAGCAACAGAGCAAGACUCCAUCUUUAAAAAAAAAAGCCUCAAUUAAAAAAAAAUAGCUUCCAUAAAUUUAAAAGAAUUGAAAUCGUACAAAGUACGUUCUCUGAUCACACUAGAGUAAAAGUUAAUAACUAAUCUGGGAAAGUCACAAAUAUGUGAAAAACAAACACUCCUAAAUAACCAAUGGGUCAAAGAUGAAAUCAGAGGGGAAAUCAGAAUAUUUUUAGAUGAACGAAAAUGAAGAUAUAACAUAUGAAAACUUACGGUAUGCAAGUAAAACAAUGCUUAGAGGGAAAUUUAAAGUUGUAAAUGUCUACAUUUAAAAAGAAGAAUGAGGCCAGGCACAGUGGCUGACGCCUGUAAUCCCAGCACUUUGGGAGGCCAAGGCUGGAGGAUCACUUGAGCCCAGGAGUUCCUGACCAGCUUGGGGAACAUAGUGAGAUCCCGUCACUACAAAAUAAAAAUUAAAAAAUUAACCAGGCACAGUGGCGUGUACCUGUAGUCCCAGCUACUUGGGAGGCCAAGGCAGGAGGGUUGCCAGAGCCCAGGAGUUCAAGACUGCAGUGAGCUACAAUCACACCACUGCACUCCAGCCUGGGUGACAGAGCAAGACCCUGUCUCUAAAUAAAUAAAUAAAGGAAAAGAAGAAUGAUCUCAAAUCAAUAACCUAAAUUUCUACCUUAAGACAUUGAAAAAAGAAGAGCAAAGUAAACCCAAAGAAGGAUUAGAGUGGAAAUUAAUGAAAUAGAGAAUAUAAAAAUGACACAGAAAAUCAAUGAAAUUAAAAGUUAGGUCUUGGCCGGACGCAGUGGCUCACACCUAUAAUCCCAGCACUUUGGGAGGCUGAGGAGGGCGGAUCACCUGAGGUCAGGAGUUCGAGACCAGCCUGGCCAACAUGGUGAAACUCCAUCUCUACUAAAAAUACAAAAAUUAGCCAGGCAUGGUGGCGAGCGCCUGUAAUCCCAGCUACUUGGGAGGCUGAGGCAGGAGAAUUGUUUGAACCCGGGAGGCGGAGGUUGCAGUGAGCCAAGAUUGCACUCCAGCCUGGAUGACAAGAGUGAAACUCUGUCUCAAAAAAAAAAAAAAAAAAAGGUCCUAAAAAGACCAACAAAAUUCACAAACCUUUAGCUAGACUGACUAAGAUAAAAGAAGAAAAGACUCAAAUUACUAAAAUCAAGAAUAAAAGAGAAGGCAUUAAUGCCAACCUUACAGAAAUAAAAGGAAUUAUAAGGCAAUACUGUGAACAACCGUAUGUCCACUAAUUCAAUAAUUUAGAUUAAAUGCAUAAAUUCCUAGAAAUAUAAAAACUACUGAAACUGACUCAAGAAAAAUGAGAAAAUCUGGCCAAGUGGGGUGGCUCACACUUGUAAUCCCAGAACUUCGGGAGGCCAAGGCAGGUGGAUCACAAGGUCAGGAGAUCAAGACCAGCCUGGCCAACACGGUGAAACCCCGUCUCUACUAAAAAUACAAAAAUUAGCCAGGCAUGGUGGCACGUGCCUGUAAUCCCAACUACUUGGGAGGCUGAGGCAGAAGAAUCGCUUGAACCUAGGAGGCGGAGGUUGCAGUGAGCCAAGGUCACUCCAUUACACUCUAGCCUGGACAACAAGAGUGAAACUGUCUCAAAAAAAAAAAAAAAAAAUUCAGUCUGGGCGCAGUGGCUCAUGCCUGUAAUCCCAGCACUUUGGGAGGCCAAGGUGGGCGGAUCACAAGGUCAAGACCAUCCUGGCCAACAUGGGGAAACCCCAUCUCUACUAAAAAUACAAAAAUUAGCUGGGUGUGGUGGCACGCGCCUGUAAUCCCAGCUACUCGGGGGGCUGAGGCAGGAGAAUCGCUUGAACCCGGGAGACGGAGGUUGCAGUGAGCUGAGUUUGUGCCACUGCACAAUCCAGCCUGGCGACAGUGGGAGACUUCAUCUCAAAAAAAAUAAAUAAAUAAAAUAAAUAAAUAAAUAGCAAGCAAAAAUUAGCCAGGCAUGGUGGGGCGAGUACUUCUAGUCCCAGUUACUCGGGAGGCUGAAGCAGGAGAAUCGCUUGAACCUGGGAGGCAGAGGUUGCAGUGAGCCAAGACUGCACCACUGCACUCCAGCUUGGGCGACAGAGUGAGACUCUGUCUCAAAAAAAAAAAAAGAAAAGAAAAGAAAAGAAAAUCGGCUGGGCGCAGUGGCUCACGCCUGUAAUCCCAGCACUUUGGGAGGCUGAGGCAGGUGGAUCAUGAGGUCAGGAGAUCGAGACCAUCCUGGCUAACACGGUGAAACUGUCUCUAUUGAAAAUACAAAAAAUUAGCCGGGCAUGGUAGCGGGCGUCUGUAGUCCCAGCUACUCGGGAGGCUGAGGCAGGAGAAUGGAGUGAACCCGGGAGGCGGAGCGUGCAGUGAGCCGAGAUAGCGCCACUGAGUCCAGCCUGGGUGAAAGAGCGAGAAUCCGUCUCAAAAAAAAAAAAAGGAAAGAAAAUCAAUUAAUGUAGUACACUACCUUGCCUUAAAGAAUGAAGGGGAGCUGGGCACGAUGGCUCACACCUGUAUUUCCAGGUACAUGGGAGGCUGAGGUGGGAGAAUUGCUUGAGCCCUGGAGUUGAAGGCUGCAGUGAGCUUUGAUUGCACCACUGCACUCCAGCCUGGGUGACAGAGCAAAACCCUGUAUCUAAAACAAAAAACACAAAACCAAUGGUGAAAAGCUGAAAGCUUUUCCCCUAAGAUCAGGAACAAGACAGAGAUGCCCACUUUCACAGUUGUAUUCAACACAGUACUGGCAGUCCUAGCCAGAGAAAUUAGGCAAGAAAAAGAAAAGGCAUCCAAAUUGGAAAGGAAGAAAUAGAACGAUCUCUAUUUGCAGAUGACAUUAUCACAUAUAUAGAAAAUCCCAAAUAAUCCACAGUAAACCCUUUUAUUUAUUUAUUUAUUUAGAGACCAAGGUCUCACUUUGUCCCCAAGACUGGAGUGCACCUGUGUGAUCAUAGCUCACUGUAGCUUCCAACUUCUGGGCUCAUGUGAUCCUCCUGCCUUUGCCUUCUGAGUAGCUGGGACUACAAUUAUGCGCCACCAUGCCUGGCUAAUUUUUAAAUCUUAUUUUUGUAUAGACAGGGCUUCACUAUAUUGCCCAGACUGGCAGAAAAGUUUUUUUUAAUUACUAGAGUUAAUAAAUGAAUUCAGUAAAGCAGCAGGGGACAAAGUCAACACACAAAGAACAAUUGUAUGUCUACUCACCAACAAUGAACAAUCAGAAAAAGAAAUUAAGAAAAUAAUUCUAUUUAUAAUAGUAUCAAAAAUAAUAAAAUACCUAGGGAUAAAUUUAACCAAGGAGGCAAAAGACUUAUACACUAAGUUUCAUUUAAAUAGGACAGUGAAUGUAAAAGUGUGAUUAGCACAGGGCCUGACCCAAAAUAGAUGCUUAAUGCCUAUUCUCAUCAGAGACACUGCUGAACGCCAUAGAAAGGACAGAGUCGGCUACACCGACAGGGACAAAGUUCCUUUGGAAGUCUGGCAGCCCUGCUCCUUCCUAGGGAUAGAGUUUUGCUUAGCUUUGCGGAGUGAUCAGCAAGAACACCCUUAAGUUUAUGAAAAGAGUCUGUGGAGUUAUUUGCAGAGAAAAUAGUAAGGGAUAAGCUAGGAAGAAAAUAAGGGAGAAACUAGAAGAUACCAAUAAAUCAGGAAUGUGGACGGCAGCUUUAAAAAGGCAAGGAACAGGCCUGACAUGGUGGGUUCACGCCUGUAAUCCUAGCACUUUGGGAGGCCGAGGUGGGAAGAUUGCUUGAGGCCAGGAGUUCAAGACUAGCCUGGGCAACAUAGCAAGACCUUGUCUCUACAAAAGAAAAAAAAAUGUUUUAAAAAAAUUGUAAAGGGGAAAAAAAAAAAAGCAAGGAACACAGGCUGAGUCCCAGGUACAAGAGAGCGACAGAUGGGCUGCAAUGCAGGGGCCAUUAAACUAUUUUUAGGCUCUAUUUCAAUCUUAUUCAGCACAGGCGGUGAGACACAAGGCCUGAAGGUGGACAGACCAGGGGGAUGCCGCCUGGGACAAAGUCCCAGGCAAGUAGGUCAGGGAAAAGACAAGGAGAUCUCGCUAUGUGGAGAGAAAUACUUAGCCAGGCGCGGUGGCUCACGCCUGUAAUCCUAGCACUUUGGGAGGCCGAAGCGGGCAGAUCACGAGGUCAGGAGAUCGAGACCAUCCUGGUUAACAUGGUGAAACCCCAUCUCUACUAAAAAUAUAAAAAAUUAGCAUGGUGGUGGGCGCCUGUAAUCCCAGCUACUCAGAAGGCUGAGGCAGGAGAAUUGCGUGAACCCGGGAGGCUGAGGUUGCAGUGAGCCGAGAUCAUGCCACUGCACUCCAGCCUGGGCAACAGAGCGAGACUCCGUCUCAAAAAAAAAAAAAAAAAAAAAAAAAAAGCACCCAGAUGCUCAUGCUGCUACCCAAGUGCAGAAGACAGAAGAAAGACAGCUGCCCAGAGAAUUUGGCCCUGUAGAGUCAUCAAGAAAAAUGAAGAAAGGGAAGGGAAGGGAAGAAAGUACAGUGCCUUCCAUAAAGAGACCAGGGCAGCCUAUACCCAGGGAUCCUUGUUAAAAAUACACUUCCUGGCUGGGCGUGGUGGCACGCACCUGUAAUCCCAGCACUUUGGGAGGCCAAGGUGGGUGGAUCACCCGAGGUCAGGAGUUUGAGACCAGCCUGGCCAACAUGGUGAAACCCUGUCUCUACUAAAAAUACAAAAUUAGCCGCACACUUAUAAUCCCAGCUCUUGGGAGGCUAAGGCAGGAGAAUCACUUAAACCGAUGAGGUAGAGGUUGCAGUGAGCUGAGAUUGCGCCCUUGCACUCUAGCCUGGGCGACAGAGCAAGGCUCAAAAAAUAAAAAUAAAAAAAUACACUUCCUUGGUGCAUCUCAGGUCAAUUGAGUCAGAAUAUUUGGAAUGGGACUUGGGUGUCUGUGUUUCUAAUCAGGUGCCAGGAUGGGUGACUCCCACACAGGCUGAAGUUCGAGGACCUCUGAGCUAGAGAGUACCUGCCUUUGGAAUUCAAAGGACUGAUGUGGACUGAGGGUAGCGGUGGUGAUUUAACAGCCACCAAAGGUACCAUUCUCUUCUCCUUGCUAGGCUCAGGUUUCUUUUCUUUUUCUGAAUGGGGACUCACUAUAUUACACAGGCUGGUCUUGAACUCCUGGGCUCAAGCAAUCCUCCUGCCUCAGCCUUCUGAAUGGCUUGGAUUAUAGGCAUGAGCCACCACGCCCAGCAAGGAUCAGGUUUUCAUCCGUAAAAUGAACGGCCCUGCUAGGGGCAGGAAUUUAUUACUUAGCUCUUACUCUUAAAAUCCUUAUCCCUGGGAUACUCAGUGGUCGGCAGAGAGACCUGGAGGAAUAGCUUUUAUACUGGAGGUCUGCAUUAUCCAUGGAAAAUCAGUAAAAGUCCACUUAGGGGGAAUAUGCUUAUGAUGGGAACCAAGCUUAACAGCAUGUUGUGGGGGGAUAAAGUUUCAUCAGGACAAUCACAAAAAAUAAAAUGUGUUUCCUCUUGGAGUUAGCAAACUAUAUCUGCAACUAUGUAAUAAUUCUCAAAUAUUUUUACAUUUCUACAUCUUUUUUUUUUUUUCCAAGACGGAGUCUUGCUCUGUUGUCCAGAUGGUGCAGUGGCACCAUCUCGGCUCAGUGCAACCUCCGCCUCGG
rnacentral:lncRNA from 10 species